GAGGGUAUAGCUCAGUGGCAGAGCCGGUGCUUAACCUGCAUGAGGUCCUGGGUUCAAUCCCCAGUCCCGCCA
rnacentral:tRNA from 1 species